UAACAGUUUUAAUAAUCAGAGAAUAGAUUAGUAACAAUUUUGAUAUGCUAGUAGUAGUUUUCACCAUGGUUUCACAAAUACUGUUAAUUAGGCCAGGUGUGACAGGUGGAUGGCUUGCUACGAGUCUAAUUAUUACCUCUUCCUCUUCCUCAGGUGUGACAGUGAAGGAAAACAGACAAAAAGUAGGAGUGAUCGUGAAAAAAAAUAGUGAAUGAUGAAAAAUAUUGACUGAAUGAUCGUGAGGAAAUAAAUAUGGUGUUAGUGAAUGAUUGUGACGGAAAAACUGAGGUGAAAGUGAAUAACCGUGACAGAAAAUGAAAUGGAAGUGAAUGAUUGCGGUCAGAAAUAUUGAAAAUGAAUGAAAGUGAUGGUAAAUGGAAUGAAAGUGAAUGAUAAUAAAAAAAUAAUAAAUGAAAUGGAAGUGAAUGAUAAUGAUCGAAAAAUUGUGAUAAUGAAUGACAAAAAAAAAAUAGUGAAAAUUUAAUAAUAGAAAAUAUGAAAGUGAAAAUCAAUAACAGUGACGGGAAAAUAAAUAAAAUAAGUGAAAGUGAAUAACUGAUUUAAAAGAACAAUAAUGAAUAACGAUGGUAGAAAACGUAGAGCCUAAUAGAAAAUGGAAAGGGAAACUAAAGAAAAACACAGAAAACGGAGAAGAAGAAGAGGCGUGACAGGAGCGUGACGGAGGAACAUAACUCUUUCUUCACCUGUUUUUUUGUUUACUUGUUCUUGUUCAGCUGUUCUUUGUUUUCCUGCUCUUUAUUCACCUGUUCUUUAAUUAUCUUUGUUUUCCUGCUCUUUAUUCACCUGUUCUUUAAUUAUCUUUGUUUUCCUGCUCUUUAUUCACCUGUUCUUUAAUUAUCUUUGUUCUCCUGCUCUUUAUUCAUCUAUUCUUUAAUUGUCUUUGUUCUCCUGCUCUUUAUUCACCUGUUCUUUAAUUAUCUUUGUUUUCCUGCUCUUUAUUCAUCUAUUCUUUAAUUAUCUUUGUUCUCCUGCUCUUUAUUCACCUGUUCUUUAAUUAUCUUUGUUUUCCUGCUCUUUAUUCACCUGUUCUUUAAUUAUCUUUCUCCUGCUCUUUAUUCACCUGUUCCUUAUUCACUUCUUCUUUGUUCUGUUCUUUAUUCACCUGUUCUUCCUCCACCUAUUCUUCCUCCACCCUUUCUUUUCUCACCUUUAUUAUCUUCUUCACCUGCCUCCCUUUCGUCGCCUUCGUCAGUCCUGCUGAUGCUGCUGCUGCUGAUGAUGAUGUUUGGUUAUUCGACAUCCAAUCACCCAGUCGCCUCUCACUCAGCCACCGUCGACUCCACAAGCCAGCUGGAACUCGUCACGUGGGAGAGUAAACGCCGAGACCCACACCUGUCCCGCCCAGG